rnacentral:ncRNA from 1 species
GACGGGGCGAGAGAGCCGAAUAUAACACCCUUUGGGGAAAUAAGCUCCGCCGACUAGGAUCGGUAGUUGAACCCUGUCACCCACUA